AUUGAACGCUGGCGGCAGGCCUAACACAUGCAAGUCGAACGUGUGGCGGACGGGUGCGUAAUGUCUGGGAACCUGCCCGAUGGCGGCGCAUCACUACUGGAAACGGUAGCUAAUACCGCAUACCAUCGGAUGUGCCCAAAUGGGAUUAGCUAGUAGGUGGGUUAACGGCUCACCUAGGCGACGACCCCGAGCUGGUCUGAGAGGAUGACCAGACACACUGGAACUGAGACACGGUCCAGAAUCCUACGGGAGGCAGCAGUGGGAAAUAUUGAGCAAUGGGCGAAAGCCUGAUGGAGCAAUGCCGCGUGUAUGAAGAAGGCCGUCGGGUGGUAAAGUACUUUCAGCGAGGAGGCGUUACUCGCAGAGGAAGCACCGGCUAACGCCGUGCCAGCAGCCGCGGUAAUAC
rnacentral:rRNA from 1 species